rnacentral:rRNA from 1 species
GUCGAGCGGACAGAUGGGAGCUUGCUCCCUGAUGUUAGCGGCGGACGGGUGAGUAACACGUGGGUAACCUGCCUGUAAGACUGGGAUAACUCCGGGAAACCGGGGCUAAUACCGGAUGGUUGUCUGAACCGCAUGGUUCAGACAUAAAAGGUGGCUUCGGCUACCACUUACAGAUGGACCCGCGGCGCAUUAGCUAGUUGGUGAGGUAACGGCUCACCAAGGCGACGAUGCGUAGCCGACCUGAGAGGGUGAUCGGCCACACUGGGACUGAGACACGGCCCAGACUCCUACGGGAGGCAGCAGUAGGGAAUCUUCCGCAAUGGACGAAAGUCUGACGGAGCAACGCCGCGUGAGUGAUGAAGGUUUUCGGAUCGUAAAGCUCUGUUGUUAGGGAAGAACAAGUGCCGUUCAAAUAGGGCGGCACCUUGACGGUACCUAACCAGAAAGCCACGGCUAACUACGUGCCAGCAGCCGCGGUAAUACGUAGGUGGCAAGCGUUGUCCGGAAUUAUUGGGCGUAAAGGGCUCGCAGGCGGUUUCUUAAGUCUGAUGUGAAAGCCCCCGGCUCAACCGGGGAGGGUCAUUGGAAACUGGGGAACUUGAGUGCAGAAGAGGAGAGUGGAAUUCCACGUGUAGCGGUGAAAUGCGUAGAGAUGUGGAGGAACACCAGUGGCGAAGGCGACUCUCUGGUCUGUAACUGACGCUGAGGAGCGAAAGCGUGGGGAGCGAACAGGAUUAGAUACCCUGGUAGUCCACGCCGUAAACGAUGAGUGCUAAGUGUUAGGGGGUUUCCGCCCCUUAGUGCUGCAGCUAACGCAUUAAGCACUCCGCCUGGGGAGUACGGUCGCAAGACUGAAACUCAAAGGAAUUGACGGGGGCCCGCACAAGCGGUGGAGCAUGUGGUUUAAUUCGAAGCAACGCGAAGAACCUUACCAGGUCUUGACAUCCUCUGACAAUCCUAGAGAUAGGACGUCCCCUUCGGGGGCAGAGUGACAGGUGGUGCAUGGUUGUCGUCAGCUCGUGUCGUGAGAUGUUGGGUUAAGUCCCGCAACGAGCGCAACCCUUGAUCUUAGUUGCCAGCAUUCAGUUGGGCACUCUAAGGUGACUGCCGGUGACAAACCGGAGGAAGGUGGGGAUGACGUCA